ensembl:snRNA U1 U1 spliceosomal RNA
AUACUUACCUGGCAGGGGAGAUACCAUGAUCACGAAGGUGGUUUUCCCAGGGCGAGGCUUAUCCAUUGCACUCCGGAUGUGCUGACCCCUGCGAUUUCCCCAAAUGUGGGAAACUUCGACUGCAUAAUUUGUGGUAGUGGGGGACUGCGUUCGCGCUUUCCCCUG